rnacentral:misc_RNA from 1 species
UUAAGUUCAGCGGGUAUCCCUACCUGAUCCGAGGUCAAACUUAGAAGUUGGGGGUUGCUGGCUAGCGUCCACGAGUCCUUAUAGCGAGGGUAUUUACUACGCUCAAGGCCUCGACGGCACCGCCACUGAUUUUAGGGCCCGCUGGGUGAGCAGCGGCGCCCAACACCAAGCAAUGCUUGAGGGUUGUAAUGACGCUCGAA